rnacentral:sRNA from 1 species
CGCGCUGCCUGAGCGGAGCCGCAGUAGGUGAGGGGCCCGCGUCCCCGCCCGCCGUGGGCGCCGCGCCUGGCACUGAUCCUGCCGGUCGCCCACUGUCGCCGCCGCCGCCGCCCGCGGGCACCAUGACAGCUCUGAGCGUUGGGGUUACAGACUGUGGUUUUGUGCUUGCUCACCAAAGCUAACCUCAGCAUGCUCAAAAGGAAGCAGAGUUCCAGGGUGGAAGCCCAGCCAGUCACUGACUUUGGUCCUGAUGAGUCUCUGUCGGAUAACGCUGACAUCCUCUGGAUUAACAAACCAUGGGUUCACUCUUUGCUGCGCAUCUGUGCCAUCAUCAGCGUCAUUUCUGUUUGUAUGAAUACGCCAAUGACCUUCGAGCACUAUCCUCCACUUCAGUAUGUGACCUUCACUUUGGAUACAUUAUUGAUGUUUCUCUACACGGCAGAGAUGAUAGCAAAAAUGCACAUCCGGGGCAUUGUCAAGGGGGAUAGUUCCUAUGUGAAAGAUCGCUGGUGUGUUUUUGAUGGAUUUAUGGUCUUUUGCCUUUGGGUUUCUUUGGUGCUACAGGUGUUUGAAAUUGCUGAUAUCGUUGAUCAGAUGUCACCUUGGGGCAUGUUGCGGAUUCCACGGCCACUGAUUAUGAUCCGAGCAUUCCGGAUUUAUUUCCGAUUUGAACUGCCAAGGACCAGAAUUACAAAUAUUUUAAAGCGAUCGGGAGAACAAAUAUGGAGUGUUUCCAUUUUUCUACUUUUCUUUCUACUUCUUUAUGGAAUUUUGGGAGUUCAGAUGUUUGGAACAUUUACUUAUCAUUGUGUUGUAAAUGACACAAAACCAGGGAAUGUAACCUGGAAUAGUUUAGCUAUUCCAGACACACACUGCUCACCAGAGCUAGAAGAAGGCUACCAGUGCCCACCUGGAUUUAAAUGCAUGGACCUUGAAGAUCUGGGACUUAGCAGGAACCAGUAUAUUCACCGUCUAUGAGGCUGCCUCGCAGGAAGGCUGGGUGUUCCUCAUGUACAGAGCAAUUGACAGCUUUCCCCGUUGGCGUUCCUACUUCUAUUUCAUCACCCUCAUUUUCUUCCUCGCCUGGCUUGUGAAGAACGUGUUUAUUGCUGUUAUCAUUGAAACAUUUGCGGAAAUCAGAGUACAGUUUCAACAAAUGUGGGGAUCAAGAAGCAGCACAACCUCAACAGCCACCACCCAGAUGUUUCAUGAAGAUGCUGCUGGAGGUUGGCAGCUGGUAGCUGUGGAUGUCAACAAGCCCCAGGGACGCGCCCCAGCCUGCCUCCAGAAAAUGAUGCGGUCAUCCGUUUUCCACAUGUUCAUCCUGAGCAUGGUGACCGUGGACGUGAUCGUGGCGGCUAGCAACUACUACAAAGGAGAAAACUUCAGGAGGCAGUACGACGAGUUCUACCUGGCGGAGGUGGCUUUUACAGUACUUUUUGAUUUGGAAGCACUUCUGAAGAUAUGGUGUUUGGGAUUUACUGGAUAUAUUAGCUCAUCUCUCCACAAAUUCGAACUACUACUCGUAAUUGGAACUACUCUUCAUGUAUAUCCAGAUCUUUAUCAUUCACAAUUCACGUACUUUCAGGUUCUCCGAGUAGUUCGGCUGAUUAAGAUUUCACCUGCAUUAGAAGACUUUGUGUACAAGAUAUUCGGUCCUGGAAAAAAGCUUGGGAGUUUGGUUGUAUUUACUGCAAGCCUCUUGAUUGUUAUGUCAGCAAUUAGUUUGCAGAUGUUCUGCUUUGUUGAAGAACUGGACAGAUUUACUACGUUUCCGAGGGCAUUUAUGUCCAUGUUCCAGAUCCUCACCCAGGAAGGAUGGGUGGACGUAAUGGACCAAACUCUAAAUGCCGUGGGACAUAUGUGGGCACCUGUGGUUGCCAUCUAUUUCAUUCUCUAUCAUCUUUUUGCCACUCUGAUCCUCCUGAGUUUGUUUGUUGCUGUUAUUUUGGACAACUUAGAACUUGAUGAAGACCUAAAGAAGCUUAAACAAUUAAAGCAAAGUGAAGCAAAUGCAGACACCAAAGAAAAGCUCCCUUUGCGCCUGCGAAUCUUUGAAAAAUUUCCAAACAGACCGCAAAUGGUGAAAAUCUCAAAGCUUCCUUCAGAUUUUACAGUUCCUAAAAUCAGGGAGAGUUUUAUGAAGCAGUUUAUUGACCGCCAGCAGCAGGACACAUGUUGCCUCCUGAGAAGCCUCCCUUCUACCUCUUCCUCCUCCUGCGACCACUCCAAACGCUCGGCAACUGAGGACAACAAAUACAUUGACCAAAAAGUAAGAUCCGCUGUUUCAAAUAACAAGGCUUCUAAAAACCAUGUAUGUUUGAGAAAAGAACCGCAGAGUUCUUUAGGGUCCUGGAAUCCAAUUUCUCAAGAGACUAAUGAAAAAAAAAGUAUUUCAUUUGUAAAAGAUAUCAUGAAACCUAACAUUUUUUACUCUAUGUGUUGAAAUUUUGCAUUUCUCCGUGUAAGCUUUUGAGCUGCGCCACGUGGCAACCAUGCUACUUUGUAAACAUCAAGAGCCUCCCAAAUCUGCAUUUUCUCAUGUGUGGAAUAAAGGGCUGGGAUCUCCAAGGCUCAGUCCAGGUGUAAUGACCUGCCACCUCCUGCAA